rnacentral:rRNA from 1 species
UACGUAGGGUGCAAGCGUUGUCCGGAAUUAUUGGGCGUAAAGCGUGCGCAGGCGGUCUGUUAAGACCGAUGUGAAAUCCCCGGGCUUAACCUGGGAACUGCAUUGGUGACUGGCAGGCUUUGAGUGUAGCAGAGGGAGGUAGAAUUCCACGUGUAGCAGUGAAAUGCGUAGAGAUGUGGAGGAAUACCGAUGGCGAAGGCAGCCUCCUGGGCCAACACUGACGCUCAUGCACGAAAGCGUGGGGAGCAAACAGG